rnacentral:misc_RNA from 1 species
AACAAAGACACCUUUAUGUGUUUCAAACUGUUUCAACUACAGCGACUCGCCAAACCGUCCAGCAAGUUCGUCGCUGUAUAUUGCUUCUUUUGUUUAAUCAUGCUUGGGCUGAGGGUGGGAGGAUUGGCACGAUUGCUUUCCGUUGGCACAAUUACUUCCAAAGAAGUCGAGAAGUUCUGCAAAUAACAAGUGCACCUGUAUAGUGGAGGGCUUAAGAUAUCUGCUGUAGCCUAGGAGUUGGCGGAACUUUCAAUUCACCCCAAGCUUUGGUCGAUGAUCUGUUUGAACGGUGAGACACCCUGCGGUCUGGGGUAUGUGGAUAGGGGCAGAUUGAACAGCCACUAGUGUUUGGGGGGUAGGGAAGGAAGGAGGAAGCACCACCACUACAGAGAAUGCUUUAAAGAAGGGAAAUUGCGAUGUCCGCCCGAAGCUGUGCACGCGACACCAUGGAAACACUGUUCGUCCGGAGUCGUACUUUCACCAACCGUCGCUGCUUUGAUCUACCCGAAAGUGCUUUGCCGUGUUGGAAAACUACUUCGACUAUCUGCGAUUUUCUUCCUCUAAGUCCACUCAGGUCAAGGUCGGCCCUAGUGACCUAUGCCCCUGCUUUCCCAGCGGAAGUUACGGCAUGUCGCGAAAUAACGUCAGUGUCGCCCGCUUCUACGACCUGUCGGACGACAGGCAGGGCACCGCCUCGGCCUCGCACAUCUACCGCGAGAUGGCCGGACCAGCGGGAGGACCUCUCUCGCUGUCGGAAAUCGCGACGAAAAAGGCGGAUGGAGUGAAAAUGUCGAUGUCUAAAACUACCGCCCGGGUGACGCCAGGAAGGAUGUUUCUGAGAGACAAGGGCAUGUUGACGAAAGGAGAACGGGAGAUCAUCAAGGGCAUUUGCAAAAAUCGCGGCGACCUGCGGCGUGACGGCUGCUCCCAGUCGGACAUGACGGUGCGACACCAUCACGAGGCCUGGCAGAUGGGUAAGGCAAUGACUGCGAGCAAGGAUCUGCUGCGUGGCACCCUUUUAGAGAUGGCCUCAUCAGGGGUGGCAGGUGGAGAAGCCGUCAGUGUCAAAUCAUUGACGCAAAUCAAGCCAAAGCUGGUGGAGAAGGUAACAUCGCUCAUCGUUCUCAAUGUUUGAUGUGUUUGAAAGAGCAAACCUGCAGCACCCGAAGCUCCGCCUUCCGACUUCUCGCCGUGAUGGCGGCGGUCUGAUAACACCGCCAUCCACUCCAGAACCAUCCAGCAUCCACGGCGCCAGUUUGUCGAACAAUUUUCAGCCCCAUCAUCACUGCCAAACCUUAGCACCACACCAUCACACCAUCACGCCUGCACCCAGGCUACCCCACCGACGUCAGGAAACCAGUUCCCAUGAAACGAUAGUUGUGACCCCUUUAAGUGCACACACCUCUCAGGAUACGGAACCCAGUGACUCUGACAGCCAGGAUUCCAGAGGCAGACGGAAGAUUCAGGUGAAAGUGUACUUGCCCAAAGUCGGCGCCGAUACGGUUGAUGACGACAUAAAGGCUUGUAUUCUACAUGGAAAACCCAUACUGGCCAGGGAGAGACACAUAAACCAGAACGAUCUCAAACACAAGAAACUGCACAAAGACAGUUUGGAGACUACUCAAGCGUCCACAUGGGAACGACUUCCGACAACAAAAUACAGAGACAAACCCAGAGUAGUGACUCUUACAAACCGGCCAUUCCGUGGUGCCACAGAGGGAACAGGUACAGGUCGAUUUUUACCAGCGUGAAUAUGCUAGGGUGAUAAAAUUAUGGUAAGGAAUAGAGGAUGAGUCUGGACAUGGUAAAUAAUGACUUUGGGACUUCUUUCAUGUGAUGUAAGUAGCUAUGAAGAACAUGUUCAACAUCAUAAGUAUAUUACUUCAUGUGAAUGUUGGAUUUUUUUUUCCGUCAUAUUCUUCAUAGAUUUCUACAGAAACAAAUCUUCAUUUGAACAGACUGCAUUGCAAAGUAGUAGUAUUGUGCAAUAAAGACGGUUUACAAUUAAGCAGUUACUAUAGAGCAACUAUGAUUAUGUUAAAAAAUAUUGCUACUGUAUUAUUUAAGGCCACAUUUUUGGACUGAAGACAUAACCUGUUGCAUUCAAAUGCCAACAUUGCAUUAUGGCAUGUUUGUCUUGUAUAAAGGCAAUGUUCAUGAGCAU